rnacentral:lncRNA from 1 species
ACAUCAUACAUUCCAAGUAAUGCAGCACACUACUCUGGACCACGGUGACCUUUUAAAUAUUCUGCAAAUUGAUUUCCAGGCCAUUCCCACUCUCCCUUGUUUAUAGCCUUGGUAACCCAGAAGAAAAUGAGACUGGCCAGCUGUGAUUCCUGCAUUUCUGUUCUCAUCAGUGCUCAGAAUUACAUUUCUUUCUCUCCCAAAGGCUUCAUGACAACGCUUACUGUUGAUCUAGAGAGCAGCAGCACCAAGAAUCUUCAAUAAGGACAAGUUUAAGAGCUAUAAGCAGUUGUGUGGACUCCUUAGAGCCUUCUGCCUGAGAUGAUGCUGCCAGAGGGCCCUUGCCAGAUAUUGCCACCUUGAUAUUAGACUUCCCAUCCUCCAAAACUGUGUUAUCAAAAGGUCUCAUCAAAUUAUUUUAUGUAGAAGAGCACCCAAAUGUUAUUUCUUGCUGUUCCUCUUCUUUUCCUCAAGAGAAAGAAGGUUGAAAACUGAAAAUGAUGAAGUUGAAGAAUGAAGUCAAUGAGUGUUAAGAAGAGAUUCAUUUAUCCUUGAAAAAUGAAAAAGUAGAGUGCUGGUGGUGAUCAUGUCUUCCCUUCACCCAUGGGGACUUUUCAUUUAUCGCUGCCACUCCAGCAUGUUCACUAUUCUCUGUAGCAUGAAAAUCUGAUAAAGCUCAUGAGGGGAGAGAAAACUUAACUUCAAUAUUUUCCUGCUGAGCCUGAGAGUGCUUUGUAUACCCUAGCAAGAUGAAAAUCUUAGCUGCAGCAUCAGGAAGAGGACACCUCACUUUAUCCUACAUUCCUAUCUCAGUCAGGAAAGUAGCUCUAGAGAAGGAACUAAGAAGUCAAGGCCUUUUGUGAAGUUGCUCUGUUAUCUCUGUGGCCCCAAAGACCAAAAUGAUGGAGAAAAUGAAACCAGGAUGAUUUCUGACAUCUGCUUCCACUCCACCUUCUUUAACCACUUCAUCCACAUCUCUCUUAGCUUCUCACAUAAGUCUCACCUGGAAUCAUCUUAUUUACACCAAUAAAUUUACCUACCACCUGCCUGUUGAUUGCCAAA